rnacentral:rRNA from 1 species
UUCCCUACGGGGCGCAGCAGUGGGGAAUAUUGCACAAUGGGGGAAACCCUGAUGCAGCGACGCCGCGUGAGCGAAGAAGUAUUUCGGUAUGUAAAGCUCUAUCAGCAGGGAAGAAAAAAAUGACGGUACCUGAGUAAGAAGCACCGGCUAAAUACGUGCCAGCAGCCGCGGUAAUACGUAUGGUGCAAGCGUUAUCCGGAUUUACUGGGUGUAAAGGGAGCGUAGACGGCGGCGCAAGUCCGGAGUGAAAGCCCACGGCCCAACCGUGGGACUGCUCUGGAAACUGUGCGGCUUGAGUGCGGGAG